rnacentral:lncRNA from 1 species
AACAGCCCCUGGGAUGAGAAUCUUGCCAACCAGAGAGCAGGACAGAAACCUGGAAUCCUCCCCAUUCUGGAGAAUCAAACUAAGGACUGGCACUGAAAAUUUUCCCCAGGGACCUUCCAAAUUCCUAAGUCCCAUGCAACUGACAGCACAGUUAAGAUAUACUCCACAGCUCUCCUACUCCUGCAGCACCUGAAGUUUAGGAGCAUGUGAAUGAAAUACCUCACAUUCUCC